rnacentral:rRNA from 1 species
GGGUUGUGAGGUUAAGCGACUAAGCGUACACGGUGGAUGCCCUGGCAGUCAGAGGCGAUGAAGGACGUGCUAAUCUGCGAUAAGCGUCGGUAAGGUGAUAUGAACCGUUAUAACCGGCGAUUUCCGAAUGGGGAAACCCAGUGUGAUUCGUCACACUAUCAUUAACUGAAUCCAUAGGUUAAUGAGGCGAACCGGGGGAACUGAAACAUCUAAGUACCCCGAGGAAAAGAAAUCAACCGAGAUUCCCCCAGUAGCGGCGAGCGAACGGGGAGCAGUCCAGAGCCUGAAUCAGUGUGUGUGUUAGUGGAAGCGUCUGGAAAGGCGCGCGAUACAGGGUGACAGCCCCGUACACAAA